AUAUACAUAUAUAUGUGUAUGUUUUUAUUUUACAUUAUAAUAAAAACAAUUUUUCAUUAAUCUCAUGGGUUACUCUGUUCUUUUGUAGAGUACAAAUUUAUUGUUCUUAAAUAAGAAUAUUACUGAUAGUGACUUCAAAGUUUUGGCCAGU